UACGUAUGGAGCAAGCGUUAUCCGGAUUCACUGGGUGUAAAGGGAGCGUAGGCGGCCCGACAAGUCUGAUGUGAAAGCCCGCGGCUCAACCGCGGCACUGCAUUGGAAACUGUUAGGCUGGAGUACCGGAGGGGCAAGUGGAAUUCCUAGUGUAGCGGUGAAAUGCAUAGAUAUUAGGAGGAACACCAGUGGCGAAGGCGGCUUGCUGGACGGUAACUGACGCUGAGGCUCGAAAGCGUGGGGAGCAAAC
rnacentral:rRNA from 1 species